UGACAUGACAUGACAGGACAUGACAUGACAUGACAUGACAUGACAUGACAUGACAUGACAUGACAUGACAUGACAUGACAUGACAUGACAUGACAUGACAUGACAUGACAUGACAUGACAUGACAUGACAUGACAUGACAUGACAUGACAUGACAUGACAUGACA